rnacentral:piRNA from 1 species
CGGAAAUGAAACGGGGAGGGGGCA